CUCCGCCCCGCCCCGCCCGCGAAUGCCGGGAGUUGUGGUCCCCGCAGGGCGCGAGCGCGGAGCCGGCCCAGAGGGCCGCAGGGCAUGCCGGGACCACUAGCCCUUCCGGGGCGCCCCAGGCCUCCGGGUCCCAGCCCGCUGGGCGGACGUCCGAAGACCCCGCCUUCCCAGGAGCCCCUGCGGCCCGGCGCGAAGAUGGCGGCGGCAGCCCGGCGUUCCUGAAGUGUCAGCUAUGGAGCCUCCCCCGUCGCCGGGGCCGGAGCGGCUCUUCGACUCGCACCGGCUCCCGGGCGACGGCUUCCUACUGCUCGCGCUGCUGCUCUACGCGCCCGUCGGGUUCUGCCUCCUAGUGCUGCGCCUCUUCCUCGGGAUCCACGUCUUCCUGGUCAGCUGCGCGCUGCCCGACAAUGUCCUUCGCAGGUUCCGACCCGGGCGCACGGGGAGUGUCAGGGAGAGGCCCGGUCGAGGCCACACCGUCACCGCCGCCUGUGCCCCCAGGUUCGUGGUGCGGACCAUGUGCGCGGUGCUGGGGCUCGUGGCCCGGCAGGAGGACCCGGGACUCCGGGACCAGCGCGUCAGAGUCCUCAUUUCCAAUCACGUGACACCGUUUGACCACAACAUCGUCAACCUGCUCACCACCUGUAGCACCCCUCUGCUCAACAAUUCCCCCAGCUUUGUGUGCUGGUCUCGGGGCUUCAUGGAGAUGGACGGGCAGGGGGAGUUGGUGGAGUCCCUCAAAAGAUUCUGUGCUUCCACGAGGCUUCCUCCCACCCCUUUGCUGCUGUUCCCCGAGGAAGAGGCCACCAAUGGCCGGGAGGGGCUCCUGCGCUUCAGUUCCUGGCCAUUUUCUAUCCAGGAUGUGGUACAGCCUCUUACCCUGCAAGUUCAGAGACCCCUAGUCUCUGUGACAGUGUCAGAUGCCUCCUGGGUCUCAGAACUGCUGUGGUCACUUUUCGUCCCUUUCACGGUGUAUCAAGUAAGGUGGCUUCGUCCUGUUCAUCGCCAACUGGGGGAGGGGAAUGAGGAGUUUGCAUUCCGUGUACAACAGCUGCUGGCCAAGGAAUUGGGCCAGACAGGGACACGGCUUACUCCAGCAGACAAAGCAGAGCACAUGAAGCGACAGAGACACCCCAGAUUGCGCCCCCAGUCAGCCCAGUCUUCUUUCCCUCCCUCCCCUCGCCCUUCUCCUGAUGUGCAGCUGGCAACUCUGGCUCAGAGAGUCAAAGAGGUUUUGCCCCAUGUGCCACUGGGUGUCAUCCAGAGAGAUCUGGCCAGGACUGGCUGUGUAGACUUGACUAUCACUAAUCUGCUUGAGGGGGCUGUAGCUUUCAUGCCUGAAGAUAUCACCGAGGGAACUCAGUCCCUGCCCACAGCCUCUGCCCCCAAGUAGGCAUUCGGUGCGUGUUUAAUGAUGAUGACUUCGCAAGCCCUCUGACAUUGUGAUCACCUCAGUUCCCCAGCUCUGGCCCGGCAACCCCUCAGCCCACAGCCCUAACAUUUGCCAAGUCUUCCUGGGCCCGCCAGGAGAGCCUGCAGGAGCGCAAGCAAGCACUAUAUGAAUAUGCAAGAAGGAGAUUCACAGAGAGACGAGCCCAGGAGGCUGACUGAGCUCAAAGGAACAGGAUGACACCCAGAGCCGCAGGAUGGAGACUAGGGGCAGCCCUCACCCAAGUCACAACAGGCCGGAUGGGUGGUAAAAAGGGAGGGAUGAGGCUCUCCCAAUAUCACAUUAAAUUCAGGGUUUUCACUCGC